GAUGAACGCUGGCGGCGUGCCUAAUACAUGCAAGUCGAGCGAACAGACGAGGAGCUUGCUCCUCUGACGUUAGCGGCGGACGGGUGAGUAACACGUGGAUAACCUACCUAUAAGACUGGGAUAACUUCGGGAAACCGGAGCUAAUACCGGAUAAUAUAUUGAACCGCAUGGUUCAAUAGUGAAAGACGGUUUUGCUGUACCUUAUAGAUGGACCCGCGCCUCAUUAGCUAGUUGGUAAGGUAACGGCUUACCAAGGCAACGAUGCGUAGCCGACCUGAGAGGGUGAUCGGCCACACUGGAACUGAGACACGGUCCAGACUCCUCCGGGAGGCAGCAGUAGGGAAUCUUCCGCAAUGGGCGAAAGCCUGACGGAGCAACGCCGCGUGAGUGAUGAAGGUCUUCGGAUCGUAAAACUCUGUUAUUAGGGAAGAACAAAUGUGUAAGUAACUAUGCACGUCUUGACGGUACCUAAUCAGAAAGCCACGGCUAACUACGUG
rnacentral:rRNA from 1 species